rnacentral:rRNA from 1 species
GUGCAGCAGGCGCGAAACCUUCGCAAUGCAGGAAACUGCGACGAGGGAACUCCAAGUGCCUACGCUCAGCGUAGGCUGUUCUCAAGCCUAGAAAGCUUGAGGAGUAAGGGCUGGGUAAGACGGGUGCCAUCUGUGGUAGCAGUCAAUAGAUUCGAUUUGUUACUGCAAGGCAUAAGCCGCCGCGGUAAUACCCGCAGCCCCAAGUGGUGGCCGCUUUUAUUGGGCCUAAAGCGUCCGUAGCCGGCCCGGUAAAUGCCUGGGUAAAUCGUGGAGCCCAACUUCACGAAUUCCGGGUAGACUGCCGAGCUCGGGACCGGAAGAGGGGAGAGGGGUACUUCAGGGGUAGGGGUGAAAAUUUCCUUUCCAUUAACGCUUUUGCGCGAAGCGGAAAGGGUUAUCACAAUCCUGUAAUCCCCUGGAGGACCACCCGUGG